UCGGGAAUUUUGGGCAAUGGGCGAAAGCCUGACCCGGCAACGCCGCGUGAGGGAUGAAGUAUUUCGGUAUGUAAACCUCGAAAGAAUGGGAAGAAUGAAUGACGGUACCAUUUAUAAGCUCCGGCUAACUACGUGCCAGCAGCCGCGGUAAUACGUAGGGAGCAAGCGUUGUUCGGGUUUACUGGGCGUAAAGGGCGCGUAGGCGGCGCGGUAAGUCACUUGUGAAAUCUCUGAGCUUAACUCAGAACGGCCAAGUGAUACUGCUGUGCUAGAGUGCGGAAGAGGCAACCGGAAUUCUUGGUGUAGCGGUGAAAUGCGUAGAUAUCAAGAGGAACACCUGAGGCGAAGGCGGGUUGCUGGGCCGACACUGACGCUGAUGCGCGAAAGCCAGGGGAGCAAACG
rnacentral:rRNA from 1 species